rnacentral:rRNA from 1 species
AUGCCGCUGGACGGCGGGGCGGCGGCGGUCAUGUUCCUGGCGUACGCGGCCCUGGCCGUGGCGGCGCUGCGGGCGGUGCUGUCCUACAAGUCGGCGGCGCACGCGGCGCGCCGGCUGUGGCGGUGGGCGGACGAGUGGGCGCAGGCGUACCAGUACUACGAGGUGCCGCGCUUCGCCGCCGCCGGCGGCAACGACGGGGCCGAGAACCCGCUCUUCCGCAAGGCGGCGGCCUACGUGGCGUCGCUGCCGUCGCUCGAGGACGCGGACGCCGCCUGCGUGCUCUCCUCCGCCAGCAAGAGCAACGACUUCUCGCUGCAGCUCGGCCCCGGCCACACCGCGCACGACGCCUUCCUCGGCGCACGCCUCGCGUGGACCAACCGCGGGGAGCGCCUCCUCCUCCGCGUGCGCCGCCAUGACCGCACGCGCGUGCUGCGCCCCUACCUGCAGCACGUCGAGUCCGUCGCCGACGAGAUGGAGCUGCGCCGCCGCGAGCUGCGCCUCUACGCCAACACCGGCGCCGUCGCUCCGCGCUGGGCGUCGGUGCCCUUCACCCACCCGGCCACGCUGGACACGGUGGCCAUGGACCCGGAGCUCAAGACCCGCGUCCGCUCCGACCUGGAGAGCUUCCUCAAGGGCCGCGCCUACUACCACCGGCUGGGCCGCGUCUGGCGCCGGAGCUACCUGCUCUACGGACCCCCCGGCACGGGCAAGUCCACGUUCGCGGCGGCGAUGGCGAGGUUCCUCGGCUACGACGUCUACGACAUCGACCUCUCCCGCGCUGGCACCGACGACCUCCGCGCGCUGCUCCUGGACACGGCCCCGCGGUCGCUCAUCCUCGUGGAGGACCUCGACCGGUACCUGCGCGGCGGCGACGGGGAGACGUCGGCGGCGCGGGCCGCCAGGGUGCUGGGAUUCAUGGACGGGCUGUCGUCGUGCUGCGGCGAGGAGCGCGUGAUGGUGUUCACCAUGAGCGGCGGCAAGGAGGGCGUGGACCCGGCCGUGCUGCGGCCGGGGAGGCUGGACGUGCACAUCCACUUCACCAUGUGCGACUUCGACGGCUUCAAGGCGCUGGCCAGCAACUACCUGGGCCUCAAGGACCACAAGCUGUACCCGCAGGUGGAGGAGGGCUUCCACGCCGGCGCGCGCCUGAGCCCGGCCGAGCUCGGCGAGAUCAUGCUCGCCAACCGCGGGUCCCCGAGCCGCGCGCUCCGCACCGUCAUCAGCGCGCUGCAGCACGUGGUGGCGCCGCGGACGAGCUCCGCGGCGCGGCCGCCCAGGCUGACCUCAAGAUCGUCCGGGCACCUCGAGGAGUCCAGCCCGGCGGCGGCAGAGAGCCAGUCGCCGGGGGGCGGGGGGUUCGGGAAGGACGCGCCGAUGAGGGAGUUCAAGAAGCUGUACGGGCUGAUCAAGAUCAGGAGCCGCAAGGAGGGCGGCGUGGUGCCGGUGGACGACACGGCGUCGGCGAACGGGCGGGGCAGCGACGCCAGCACCGAGAAGGACCGGUGA